CUGACCUUGACAUCCCGGUGACCGCUCCGUAAUGGGAGUUUUCCUACGGGACACUGGAGACAGGUGGUGCAUGGUUGUCGUCAGCUCGUGUCGUGAGAUGUUGGGUUAAGUCCCGCAACGAGCGCAACCCCUAUCUUUAGUAGCCAGCAUUUAAGGUGGGCACUCUAAAGAGACUGCCAGGGACAACCUGGAGGAAGGUGGGGAUGACGUCAAAUCAUCAUGCCCCUUAUGGCCAGGGCUACACACGUGCUACAAUGGCGUAAACAAAGGGAAGCGAGACCGCGAGGUGGAGCAAAUCCCAGAAAUAACGUCCCAGUUCGGAUUGUAGUCUGCAACCCGACUACAUGAAGCUGGAAUCGCUAGUAAUCGCGAAUCAGAAUGUCGCGGUGAAUACGUUCCC
rnacentral:rRNA from 1 species